AAAACAACAAACCGACCAAAAUCCACUAGUACACAAGUCAACUGUUGGUGCGAUGGAUUUUUUUUUAUGGUGCGGCUCAAGUAUACCACCGCAUCAUCAUAUCUUCAUUUAGAAAUCAACCAUCAAAUAACAAAGGAUCCAGCACCAUUUAAGAAAGAAUCGCACCUUUUAACAAUAUAAUAAAAUAAUCUACUAAUAUAUUUUUCAGCAUUUCUAUCUCUCCCCCAAAAUUGAGCUUCUCCCCCCCAAAAUUUUCAACCAAAAUACAUCGAUCUCUUCCUUACCGCCACUUUUACUCUGUUCUUCAUUACUCAAUACACAUCUUUCUCCUCUCCCCAAGAACCCUAACCAACCGACAGAAACCUCUACCCCAAUCGAAAACCCUAAUUACUAACCGGCGGCUACAAACCCUAAUCGGAGUGUAAGAGGAGGAUGUUGUUCUACCUUUUCAGUUGAGCUUGAACCGCCGGUCCACCUCCUCGGCGCCGCCGCACCACCAGGUAUCGGGCUCUAGAGUUACUUCAGUCGCCAAUAUAUGGCUCUGCAGUUGAUUUAUGGGCAAUGGGCGCCAUCAUGGCUGAACUAUUUACUCUCCGUCCCCUUUUCCCAGGUUCAAGGUUUCUGGUAUUAAGAGCAUGGAUGCUUUUUUUCAAAGUUUUGAGAUACCCGGAAAUGGAUGAGUUCUUCCCAAAGCUUAUGUCUGAAAAAAUUUCAAGCGACUGCAACUAAAGUAUCAGUUCAUAUGAUACUGAGGUUUGAUGGGAUGCGUUCAUGGCUUCUUACUUAUAAGAGGCUUGAUGAUGGUAUAGCAAUUACGGAUGGUUGGAAAAGAGUAGUCGAUGACCUUGGUUUUAAACUUGGUUGUUUAUUGGUGUUUACACCGUUUGAGUCUUAUGUUGAUUUCAUGUUAACUGCGUUUAAUGUUGACUUUCGUGUUGUCUGUCAAUCUUGAAAGGGACUUUCUAAUUUAUGUCUUAUGGAUCUUGCUGGUGAUAAAGAAAGCUCUUUCGGAUUGAUACGUCAUGUUAGUGUCAUCAUGUAGCUGUGUGGAUGGCUCCUCAAUUGUGUUGUUAUGCUCUCGGUGUUCUUGAUAAAGAGACGUAGAGGUUGAAGACCAUUAAGAUUGAGGCCAAUACGUUGUGGCUUCUCUGUUUGGUUGCUUUUAGUUAUUGCCUCGGUUAGAGCUGCCUUGCUGAGUUAACUUGGUUGUUUAAUGGUGUGUUUUUCAUGGACCAUAUUUGCACUAAGCGCAGCUGCAAGCUUUCGUGUACUACUGUCACUGUUGUCCCAUUCUUCGAUUUGUUGCUGCUCAUCUGUUGAGGUGCAACAGUACAAACAUGAAAGGGAGUGUGAUUAAGUUAUUUGGAAACUGCAGGAAGAUAAAGUUGCCAGCCUUGAGGACCUGAUGGAUGGUGUGUUGUCAGCAGUUGACUUUGUAAAUGAAGAAUUGAGAUCUUUAGGGCAAGAUAAAGUAGCCACCCUUGAGGACCUGAUAGAUGUUAAAGUAUGUAUAUAAAGUUCAUGGUUACAAGGCAUAUAAUUCUACUCUUAGAAGGGAAUAGAGUUAAGGAAGCAAGCCUUGAUGACAACCAAGGUACGAGUGUAUGUUCUUGGGUCAAGCUGACCAAAAGUUGCUAAACUCAACCGGGACAUGUAUAGUACGGAUCGACUCUUCGGGUAUCUAUUUGCCUACAAGUUUUUUUCGAGUUCUAUCUGAGUGCGGCUCUAUGUUUUCAAAUUUUAGACGCGAGCAUAGUACAAGUCCCCUUCAUUUUUCUCAAGAAGCUAAAGUUGAUGAAAAACAUGGCUACAAGCUCCCUUAUAACAGUUGUCUCAUGGGGAUUGGUGUCAUAAGGAGACUUUAAAAGCCAAGGGAAGUCAUCUUUUUAAAAAUACACAUCCUUAGUGAUGUUUUAUUUGUUUAUCUUCCAUGGAAAUUAUGUUUCAUGGAAAUCCAACAUGUCUGUAUAUCUUCCAUGGAAAUCCAACAUGUCUGUAUAUUUGUUGAAACCUAUCAGAGGACCAAUAGUUUAAUGUUUGUUGUUAUAAUUUUCAGUCAACCUUCAUUGAUGAACUGCCGAAGUAGAGAGACUGCAUUUCGUCUUGGGGUUUACCAAGCAUAAUGUCAGGGGCAUUCAAAUUAACCUAGCAAUAUCAGCUACAUUCAGUGUAGAAAAUGUGCACACAAAUGGGGUAAAUGUAUAAUGUUUAUGCCAAGAAAGCGCGAUAUCGAUCGGUUGGCAUAACGCGAUAUAUGUCAAGACCAGCGGUAGAAAAUGCUAUUGGGCUUUAGAGACGGUCGUUUCAAUGUUUUAGUAGCCACUGAUAUUUCUACUCACGGACUUGAUGUUCCUAAUGUUGAUAUGGCUAGGCUGGAAAGAAAGGAAGACCAUUUUAAUUCAUUCGUCUUAGCAAUCGUCUGAGGUGAAGGGAUCCAAGCACAAAGUAGGAUGCAAAUUUUUGAAGGUACAAUAGAUGAUGAUAUUUGAUGAUGAUAUUGAUGCAUGCUCACAUAGGAUUGGACGAGGCCUUAGUGACAUUAAAAGAUGCAAGACUAGUUAAUUUUUGUUAUGUUUCUUUAUUGUUAAGACAUUGUAAUACAUUCAAUUCAAUAAAACGAAAUUUGU